CUUGGUCAUUUAGAGGAAGUAAAAGUCGUAACAAGGUUCCCUUCCGCCGCUCAGCACGGAGACCUUGCAACCCCUAGGGGAGGCAGCACGACAGUAAGCAAAGCUUGCCGCUUGCAAGUCGGCCACUUGGCUGGCAACACAAUCGAAUUGACGGGGACUUCCUAAAGCCUGUAACACCAACCGUCCGGGGAAACUCGGGCGGGGCCCUCACGGGGUGGUAAGAGAGUACAGGAUGUAACAAUGGACAAUCCGCAGCGAAGACCCUACCGGCUCCGGCCCACGGGUACCGUUCACAGACUAAGUGAUUGUGGGCGGGGCAAUCGUGCCCUGUCUAAGAUAUAGUCGGACUCUACCCGAAAGGAUAGAGGAUAGCAUGUCCGUAGGUGAACCUGCGGAAGGAUCAUUAAAGAAUGCCCCGUUUUUCGAAGCGGGUUCUAUUCCCAAACCGUGUAUACAUACCUUUGUUGCUUUGGCAGGCCGCCUUCGGGCGUCGGCUUACCCUGACCGCGCCUGCCAGAGGACCCAAACUCUUUUGUUUAGUGAUGUCUGAGUACUAUAUAAUAGUUAAAACUUUCAACAACGGAUCUCUUGGUUCUGGCAUCGAUGAAGAACGCGGCGAAAUGCGAUAAGUAAUGUGAAUUGCAGAAUUCAGUGAAUCAUCGAAUCUUUGAACGCACCUUGCGCUCCUUGGUAUUCCGAGGAGCAUGCCUGUUUGAGUGUCUUGAAAUCAUCAAACCCCUCCGGUUUCUGCCGGAGUGGGUUUGGACUUGGGGGCUUUUGCUGCCUUCUGGCGGCUCCCCUUAAAUGAAUCGGUCGGGCUUUCGCGUGGCUUGUCCCUUGGCGUUGUAUCAACCUCGUCGCUGGAUGGCUCGCGAGUUUUGCGCCCCUCCAAGACCAGCCUCUGGAGCGGCGGUCAACUUCAAUUUUUGAUCUGACCUCAAAUCAGGUAGGACUACCCGCUGAACUUAAGCAUAUCAAUAAGCGGAGGA
rnacentral:rRNA from 1 species